AACGAGACCUUAACCUGCUAAAUAGCCCGUAUUGCUUUGGCAGUACGCUGGCUUCUUAGAGGGACUAUCGGCUCAAGCCGAUGGAAGUUUGAGGCAAUAACAGGUCUGUGAUGCCCUUAGAUGUUCUGGGCCGCACGCGCGCUACACUGACGGAGCCAGCGAGUACUUCCUUGUCCGAAAGGUCCGGGUAAUCUUGUGAAACUCU
rnacentral:rRNA from 2 species